GGCCUGGGCUUGCUCUGCUCAUGGCGGGCCGCCUCUGGGCCCGCGGUGUUUUAGGUACUGUCUUCUUGCUGGUGCUCAAGUCCACAUGUCUCCUGUUUCUCUCCUCUCAGGGCCGGUCACACAUGGGCACACUUCCUUUUUAGGAAAAUGCUGAGCAGCUCCAGGGACAAGUUGGAGCCAGAAGCCUCAGAGUUACUGAUGGUAAAGGAAAGGAGUGAGAUUCGGGAGCCAGGAUGCGAGCCCAGGGGAAGACAGGCACGAGCAGGCCCAGCAGACAGAUCCAGCCCUGUCUUUGGCUUCUUACCUUCUCAUCCUCUUUGUGCCGUCUACACACCAGGAGGACGGAUGCCCAGUUGCAGGAGGAGAUGCCUCAUCCUGUCUCACCAAGUCAACAGUGCGUCCAGUCAGCUCCACGUUCGAGGUUGGCCUGAGCCCGACCGCCGCCAGCGCCUGCGCUGCCCCCACCGGGGGGCGCCUCUUAUUUCUACCUCUGGCUCCUGAAACUUGGCACGCCCUUGGUCUGGAGGCUUCCCCGUUCUCCAGGCUUUUCGUGACCUGCCCUUGUCAACGACUAGUCUGUUCCCCGCACUUCAAUGUGACAUGGCAGGAAUUUUGCUCAUCUUUUCACAGCUGCUGUAUCCCUCUGUUCACAUAGAGUCUUGCCAAACGAGUGGCUGAACGAGGCUGAAGGCAAAAACGAUAUAUCAGCGAGGUUCCUAGGACCUUUCUGCUCCCCAGCUCUGCGCACACAGCCACUUCACCAGUGCUUCUGUCUGAUCCUGUCCCUUUAGGAUGAUCAAGCCCAUCACUUUUUGUGGUUUUCUUUAAGAUGAGUAGCUUGGAAAUGUAUUUGCCUCUGCCGAAUGGGAGCACUCUGCCAUGUGAACGAACGUCAGAAAUCCAGGAUUCCAGACUUGGGAAGAUAUCUGACAGCAUCCCGUUCAGCCUCCUCUUUCUACAGGAGACAUACCUGAGUCCCGGAGAAGUAAACUGACUUGCCUGGGAUCCCAGAGCUGUUGGGUGGUGGUCGGGGCUCUCCAUUGCUCCUGGUUGAUUGGAGUUCCUGAAAAUCUCUAGACAAGUUCAGAGAUGGAACAUCUCCUUUGAAAACGUCCUUUGGAUUGGGUUGGGGAGGACGACGUGAGGCUAGGUAGAGCCAGCACCUUCAGCAGCUCUUCUUCGUGAGUGGAGAAAGGCCUUUAUGCCUGCCUCUCCUUGGUCCUGUAGAAACCAGGGGUGGUUUUUGCUCAUGUCCAAACCUCCUGUAACCAGUGAGCAAAGCCCGGGCUUCCUGAGAAUGGCUACGGUGAAAGUGGAUGUGGAACCUCGCCACCUUCGUGGAGCUGAGUCUGUUCCCACACUUAGAGCUGAAUCAAUAUUUGUUGAGUGAAUGAAUGAAUUUGUAAUUUUAAGCCUCUGGCUCUCUUAGCUAAUCCAGGAGUCCAGGGAAAUCAGUCCUUGUGAAGUUUUGAUCAAAGAGUCCUUAGAUCCUUCUGGAACAAGGCAGGAUAGAAAUAAUAAUUUUAAAGAUGGUGGAGGCUGUUGUCAGGGUAAGGGCAGGAGGAAUGUGUGCCCCACAUUCAGCAGACAUUCGUCGAUGGCCUCCUAGGUGCAGGGCUCUGAGGACACCACAAAGAACAAGACGACAGUCCUGCCGUGACACAGUUCACGGUCGUGGGGAGAGGCUCUAGGACUCCGCGCUGUGACAAGGUGUGCACUGGUGAUCACUCGUGAGCGACAUUGGCAGGGAGGCUGAUGUCCCCACACUAAGCUGGUCUUUAAGGAUUAGCAAGGGCUUCCCAGAGGGACUGGGGAGGACACUGCUGUUGUCGGAACAGCCACGGAAGAAUGUGGGAUUCGGUGAGUUACAGGAGUCCAGCGUGACCAGAGCAGAGUGUGCGUCUGGGGAGGGGUGAGAGCCAGCCGAAGGUGGCGAAGGGCCUCGGAUACCUUCUAUUCUAUUAUUUAUUGAUUUUUAUUGAAGUGUAACUGACAUAAAUCUCCUAUGAGUUUCAGCUGUACAUCAUAGUGAUUUGACAUUUGUAUACGGUGUGGAAUGACCACCCCAGUAAGCCUGGUCACCACCUGUCACCACACAAAGUCAUGACAACAUGACUGACUACACUCCCUGGCCUUGGAUGCAUUUUAUCAGAGGAGGGAGAGCCGCUGAGGGCUGAAGUGACACAAUCAGAUUUGCCUUUGGGAGGAUGGAGUGAUGGAGGAGUGGACACAGAUUCCGGUGCAGGCAGAGGGGGACAGUCAGGCGGGAUUCUGUAACAGGGGGAGCGGCAGAGCGAGACC